GACAAACCCGCCCGCUUUCCAAAUCCCCUGCCCAAACCCCACACCAAAAACCAAAUCACGCCACUUAAAACUGCUUCCCUGGCUCGUAACGAGUCGCCUACCGUGCGUUAAUCCGGCGGAUCCAAGCCCCGCGUGCGUGCGUGCGUGCGUUCAUUCAUUAGCCCGCACAAACACGGAAAAGGAAGGCAGGCGAGAGGGGGAGGGAGAAGACCAUCGGACCGUCCACCCAUUCGUCCGGCGGCGGCGGCGGCGUACGGAGCAGCAGCGGAGGAGGGGGAUCAGCGAGCCGGAAAAGCAUCCCCGCCCAGGCAUUUAGGAUGGUGGAUAACAAGAAUGAUGGGUCUGAAGGGGUCAAGUUCAACACGUCGCACCUGAUGCAAACAACCGAAGAGGUUGCGAGAGCAUUUAUUGCCGCUGCUUCAGCUGCCACCGUGCAACCAACACGGCCGUCUGUCGUCUAUUCGUCUGGGGAAGAGAGUGGCAGCCCAAUGCAGAAGCUGCAGCAGCAAUUCUCGAAGAUAAUGAAAGGGUUUUCAAAUUCACCCGAAGUGUCUGGACCAUACAACCCGGAAGUUCUCACGACACACAAGCGGCAGUGGUCGAGGUUCCAGCAGAAGUCAUUGGGUAAUAGGUGCAUCAAAGAACCAUCACAUCUUUUUGAGAGCAUAGUGAUUGUUGGGCUUCCUCCUCAGGCAGAUAUCCAUGAGCUAGAAAACAUUGCUCUAGGGAGAAAUGAUGAUGAUGCAAAGAAAUCAAGACAUAUAUUUGGCAACAACCACCACCAAGUUCAUGCUGUAUCAAAUUUGGAACCUCAGGUCCUUUUUGCGUACCCCCCUGAGAGGUCUCUUCCGCUUAAGUACAAGGAUAUCGUCUCGUUCUGCCUUCCUGGAGGUGCACAGGUUAAUGCUGUUGAACGGACUCCAUCAUUCAGCGAGCUGAAUGAAAUUCUCCUAGGGCAGGAACAUCUAAAAGAAAGCAAUCAAUCUUUCGUCUUCCGUUUACAGGUUGCUGAUGAUCCUACAUUAUAUGGAUGCUGUGUAUUGGUGGAAGAGAUUGUACAAAGACCCUCAAAGCUAGUUUCGAUGCUCACGAAUGAGAAACCUGUAUUUCCACGCCGGAGUCGUUAUGUAGUAACCACGCCACGGUGUUAUUGCAUCCUGUCUAGGCUGCCAUUCUUUGAACUGCAUUUUGGGGUGCUGCAGAGUAUUCUUAUGGAAGAACGACUUGAAUGGCUCACGGAUGGUGUUAGCAUGCUAACCUCAUUAUCGCCUGAAGAGGAAUGUGAGGAUGGUGAUAUCUGUGAAGGCUCCGAAAGCGUAGGACAAGAACUGUAUUUUGGUUGUACAACAGUAGAAAAAUCCUUUGAACCAAGCGUGGAAGUUUCUCCAAAGCAGCUCUCUGACAUGGACAGCAAUUCUGAGUGUAGGGAGAACCAACUGGACUUCAUCUCCCUAGAAGUCCAACAGGAAAGUGGUUCUCCUGUCAAAGAAGAACAAAAUGUUCUUGUAACAGGAACAGCUACUCAGUGUUAUACCGCAGAAGAGUCUGACAAUUCUGUUUCAGAAGAUACAGCGACUGGUGUAUCUGGAGUUAAGCUUGAUGAACCGGAUUCCUUACCCAUCAUUCCGAAUGAAUCUGAUACCAAGGAAAAUUCUCAUGUUCUUUCACAUGAAGAUGUGAUUGAUGGAGAACUUGAUAUCUUUGUCAAUGAUACUAUCUUGCCGCUUAUACGGUCUCGCCUUAGUGAAGGAUCUGAAUCAUCACCAAGUUCCCAAGACUCUCCUUCUGAAAGCAUAAAUUUGAGAAAUGAUACCCCCGACUUGGACUUGGAGGAGCCAUCUUCCAUUGGUCAUGGAGACGUAGUCGGGUACAACAGUAUAUUGCGAUGGGCUAAGGCCAAAAAGUAUGGAUCUCUACAAGUUGUCUGUCAGUACUACCAGUUGCAGUGUCCUGUCAGGGGUUCAUCACUUAAUUUUCAUCCAUUGGAGCACCUGCACUCAUUGAAGUUUCAUCGGCCAGGUGAAACUGCUCUUCAUCUUGCCGGGUCGACUAUUGAUCUUCGGUCACGUGAUACAAGCUUAGAGGUGGCUGAGAUGCGUAAUGCACUCUUCGCUGAAGAGGAAUCGACUGCUUUAUCCACAUGGGCUGUUGCAACAAUAUGUGGAUGCCUCAGGUUGGAACAUGUAAUUACGCUGUUUGCCGCCGCGCUCCUGGAGAAACAGAUUGUUAUUGUCUGUUCUAAUUUGGGAAUGCUUUCAGCUUCAGUUUUAUCCAUAAUACCUCUAAUACGGCCAUAUCAGUGGCAGAGUCUACUCAUACCGGUUUUGCCAAAUGACAUGCUGGAUUUUCUGGACGCGCCUGUUCCAUACAUUGUUGGUGUGCAGAACAAAACACCUGAUCUGCAAUCCAGGCUAGCAAAUGCUGUGAUAAUUGAUGCCAACAAGAAUCAGAUUAAGUCUGCUUCAGUACCGCAACUUCCACAACAGAAAGAAUUGCUUUCUGCGUUGCGGCCGUAUCAUUCAAGACUUGUGGGUGAAAGUUAUCUCGCUAGGAAGCGCCCUGUCUAUGAAUGCACAGAUGCCCAGGUGGAAGCAGCCAAAGGUUUCUUGGCAGUUCUUAGAUCCCACCUUGAUUCUCUGUGCUCCAACUUAAGAUCUCACACUAUUACCAAUGUGCAAUCCAACAAUGACAAGGUUUCCUUAAUUUUAAGAGAGAGCUUCAUUGGUUCUUUUCCAGCCCGUGAUAGGCCUUUUAUGAAGCUGUUUCUGGACACACAAUUGUUCUCGGUACAUACAGACCUAGUUCUCUCCUUUUAUCAGAAGGACUGAGUCUCUCUCCUGACGUUUUGACUGUCAUCAGGGACAUGAUUUUUUCAAGCCUUUCAAUGUUGAGCUCAACUGUACAUAUCGUCGUAGAAGCUGCCUUUGAUCACAUUGGCAGCUCAUAGUGGACUAGAAGCUGCAAGGGACGACCCAUAUACUGUUGGCGAAGCUGUAGAGUAUUGAGGAGAUCCAGAUCCAUGUACGCUGUAGCCGUCUCAACUGUUGUAAGAUGCCGUCCUUGUCCGAAUCCGCCGUUUUAUGUGAACGCCGAUAGUCUGCCCAAACUGCUUUGAAGGCAGAAGACGGCGAGACGCUGCAGGCCAGAUUCUUACCGUCUGUCUCUUGUCGCUGGCACAGCACCAUUGACUCCGUUCGGAGAGGGCCAUUUUACGACGUCCCAGUCAAAGCGAAAAGGCCUAGAAAGAAGUGUCUCGAGUCAGGUAUACGGAGGUGUGAUCUUGUGGCUGUAGCCUCCUGGUACACAUGGUGGGAACGGAGGAAGUUCACAAGAGGUGAGGCGCUGCAAGCACCGGUCAGAUCAGCUCAAGCCAUCUCGGUGCUGGCUUUAAACUUUGCUCGAGUGAAGAAACUCAGAACUGCCAAAGUGAUCAGACAUGGCUGGACUAAACCAUUAGAGGGAUUUGUGGAAUUAAAUGUUGAUGCUGCUUUUAAUGAGGAAACAGGUACAUGGCGAACAGGGGCAAUUAUUCGUGAUUAUACAGGAGCUCCAAUUGCCGGGGGUAGCUCAUGUAUGUCAUUCAUUGAUACACCGGCGACCGCUUAAGCGUGUGCACUUUGUGAUGGUUUGAUCAUUGCAGGUAAUGUAGGAUGCAACAUACUCCUAGUCGAAAGUGAUUGUAUGGAAGUAGUGGAAGUCAUGCAAAAUGGCGGCAAUUCUCUAGGUGUGGCGGCAGCCAUUUAUGAAGAAUGUACUUUACUAUGCCGAUAUUUUACACGUGUAAUUUUCUCACACUGCCCUAAGGAAGCUAAUAGAGCAGCCCAUAAUCUGGCUAGAUUUAGUGAGGGGAACCAUUC